UACGGUUAUUUUGGGAUGAUUUGCAGAGCGAUGUUUUCCUUAAGGUUUAUGCUGUUGUCUAUUCGACGAAAAAUAACUAAUGGAAGCACUUGGAGCCGAAUUUCUCACAUGAAUGUCAACUAUGUUUAUCCCAAAAUUGUACCUACAAGAAUGGUAUGUACUAUUGGAUUAGUACUAGCAGGAGGUUUUGCAAUAGAGAGAAAAACGUGUAUUUUAUUCGAACAUUUGAUUUUUCAACUGAAUUAUUCGGGCAAUUGGAAGGACCACCAAUUCCAGGUGACCAUUGGACAUCGUUAAUGUUACGAGGUAGUACACUUGCAACUAUGUCUAGUGAUGAUGUUACACAGGAAAUGACGGCUUGUUACGAUAUAUGGGUAAUGAUUCGAGAAAAUAAUUGGAUCAAAGUUUAUACUGUGAAUCCAUCAAUACCAUCACAUUGGCCUGUUGGGAUUUGGGAGUAUGACAAGUUUAUUUUUGAACACACACAAACUUGCAAGUUGGUGUUUUAUGAUCAAACAGCUAAACAACUUACAAGUUUUGGAUUUCAAUUUUUCGAACUAGGUUGUGGCUCCGAUUGGGCUAUGAGUUAUAAGGAGAGCUUAGUUCCGAUAAGUAAAGAAAAACCGACUGAGAAGGACAAUGUUGACCUCUUCUUGAUAAAGUUAUAAACAAGCACGAGCAACGAGUUAAAGUUCGAAAAAAGUCUUUUUUAUGAUUCGAUCAUUUAUAUGAUUGAGCUGUGAAAACUUUUGCAUAGAUACCCUACAUCAGAAUUCUAAGCUGAAUUAUUUUUGGUUGAAGAAUCUCUUUCUAGUUGCUUUGAAAUAAUUAGGAGAUUCUCGAAAUACGCAAUAUCCCGCUUAUGGAAUCAAAUCAAUAUGUUCUCCCGGAGAAAUGUGAGGAUGAUAUUGUAAAUGUAGAGGUCAAAUGUUUGAAUAUGGGUUUUUGUUCCUUAUUUUGCAGUAUUUUUUUUAUUUCUCUGAAAAGAAAAGUUCAAAUUUUUGCGAUCCAAAAAACAUGUUCAUCAGGAAGUAUUGAAAUAUUGAAAACUUCAGAAUCCUUACAAGAACUCUUAGAAAUUGCCAAACAAUUUUAUUACAAAUGGACUAGUCAGCUUCAAGGUGUGUUUGGAUAAAUAGUUGGUGAUAGUUCAAGUAGAAAACACAAACAUUUGAUAGUUCAGGCAGAAACCUCGCAAAAAUGUGAUACUUCAGGUGUGUUUUUGACCAUUAUCUCUUUAAUUAAUGGUGAUUAUAUUGAGGGUCCUACUAAUGAAGAUGCCUCAAUUUCAACCCAAAUUAUAGUUGCAUAAGGCAAUUAGGUUUAUAUCAAUUGCAAAUGAAUUCAACUAAUGAACAACGAGCUUGUUAGGCCAAGUUUUUACUUUUGCCAAGAUAGCUUUUUCAGAAAAUAUUUCCUGAGAGAUGCCGCUUAUGUUUGGCCAAUCAAUUGCUUUUCCUUGUAUUUGUUGAUUCAUUUGUCGUUUUGAUGAAUAACAAACAAAGUUUAUUUGUAAGGAAAUUACGAAGUUGGUCUAGUUAUUAAAUUAAUCAGAAAAAAUUGUUUUGAACAUCUAAAGAACAUAAGAUUCGAAUUGUCAUCACACAUAAAAGUCAUAUUAUUAACUAGGAAAGUUAGGCAGCAGUUGGAAUCAAGGAUCUAUUUAUUCAGCUAAAAGAUACAAUUUAUAAGUGGUGGAAUACUAAACUUAGACCACUACUUAUUACCGCACCUGUUUUUAUACUGUGUCAACUUUGGAAGAAAAGAAAUACCAUUAAACAUGGAGGUAAGUUGUCAAUUCAUGGCAUGAAACUUGAAGUGAAUAGGAAUAUCCAUCUUUUGGUAAGAUAAGGUAUCCUUCAUUUAGAAAUCUGCCUAAUAAUUAGUCUAUGUUGGUCAUGAUUCUGGAAGCUUACAAGCUUAGCAUUCAGGCUACUAUGGUAAACUGGAAACCCCUGAUCAUUGGUGUUAUCAACUGUAAUUCCGAUGGAGCAUCUAGAGGCAAUCCUGACCCUAGUGCUGGUGCUUUCUGUAAUAGAAAUAGUGAAGGUGAAUUCAUUUAUGCCAAUUCUUUCAAUUAUGGUAUAUUAACUAGCUUGGAGGCAGAAGUUUGUGCUUUUAAGAGGGGUUUGGAGUAUUGUGUCACUCUUAUCUUAAAGAAGAUCCUAGAUGGAGUUUGGGAAGUUCCUUGAAAGAUUGCAAUGGAUAUUAGGAGGAUUCUAUGGUAGAUGAAACAAUUUCAGGUGGAAGUGGUGCACACACAAAGGGAAGGAAACAAACUGCCAAAUUUUUUUGCUAACAAAGUUUUCUUGUUUGCAGGAUAUCAAAAUAGAGAAUAUAAAUCACUGCAGGAUAUUAUAGGCGGAGAAAAAAUAAUUGUAACAAUGGACAAGUACCAGAUACACUCAAUAAGGAUUGUCAAAUGCCAGAACAAUAAUUUUUAUAUCUAAAUGGCAACCAAGGUAGACUACAAUUCAGAUGUAAACAUAGAAGAUAAACAUCUACAUCGAUAAACAUCUAUAUCUAUUCCAAUCUAGAUCUAGAACAUAUUAAAAGUGUGAAGACCUUAGAAAAGUGAUUUGAAUUUUUUUGCCCUUCAUUAAAAGAUUCUGUAAUAGAUAAAAUCGUCUUUUCAUAUUUUUCUUCAAUUUAUAUUAUUGAAUAUUGACUACAAUAAAUACAUAAAAAAGUAAAAUGGAAAAGAUUUUCUACUUUAGUUGAAUUCCUAAAUUUAUGGCAAUAUUUUGUUAGAGAGAAUCCAACUUCAAAGAAAUUAUAUUAUAUAAAUAGGUUUUAAUAUUUUUUUUUUUUUAAAUUGACUAUUUUACAUAAAAUAGAUUAUUAAGACUCCUAAAAGAAGAAGAAAGAAAAUUCUUCCAAAAAUAAUUGCAAUGCGUGUAUUCCAAUUAAUAAAGGAUAGUAGACUUCAUAAAUAGAAAGGUACUAUUUUUUUAAGUUAGGAUUAUUAUUCUUUUGUUAUAAUAUUUUAGUUUAGAAGUUCUUGUAUUUCUUUCCUUUUUCCAAUUUUACAAGUCUUUUUUUAGGUUUAUACGUAUACAUUAUUUGGAUAAUAUUACUUUAUUGUGCUCGUAGCUUUGUUAUUGGGUAACUUUGUGAUUUUUCAAUUUUAAAUUUUUAUUUAUAUUACGUUUUGAUUUUAUUACUCAUAAAUAACAAAUCAUCCUUUUAUGUUUGUGAAUAGAUUAGUUAUUGGAUCUCUAAUAUAAUGUUUUAGUUUAAUUUCCAAGUUUCGAAUUUUCUUUUCUACUAUGCUGGUUUUGUUGAUCAAAACAUCUUUUCGUGUUUGUAUAUAUGUAACUUUCAUCAUUGAAUCUACAACGUAACUUUGUUGUUUCUAGGUUUCAAGUAACUUUCGUUAUUAAGUAACUUUGUGGCUUCUAUUCAAAUAAUAAGUUUAUGAAUUUUUGUGUAAAGAUUAGGUUUAAUUAUAUUGUUUUGAUAUCUUUAUUAUCAUAUUAUCUUGUUGUAAUUUACAUGUAGUAGAUAAAUAUCGGUCGGUUUUGAAAAAACUAUUUCAGUAAAAGAUUAGGCUUAAUUGCAUUAUUUUGAUGUCUCUACUUUGAGAAUUUUUUUAUUGUAUAAAGGUUAGAUUUGGUUGUAUUGUUUUGAUGUCACUAUUAUCGUAUUGUUUUAUUGUACUUGACAGGUGGCAGAUGAAUGUCGAUCGACUUUGAGGAAUUCUUUUUGCAAAAGUUAAGUUUAAUUAUAUUAUUUUAAUAUCUCUAUCAUCGUAGUAUUUUAUUGUACUUUAUAUGUGGUAGAUAAUCUAUUUCCAUUGGCUUUGAGAAUUUUUUUUUGGUAUAUGUUAGGUUUAAUCAAACAAAUUCUCCAUCUCUACAUGUUCAAAAAUAUUGAAUUUAAUUAUUAUCUCCUUUUUUAUUAUUUAAACAAAUAUUUUAUUUAGUAUAAUAUUUGAACUCAUUAAAUUGAGAUACACGCGCGAGACGCGUAUAACUAGACUAGUACAUACAAUGGCUCCGAAAUCAAGUCGAGGGACAAUGGAUUAGACAGGCAAUAGCAAAAAAUCGGGUUUUUUUAGUCAUCAACAUAAAAACAUGCAAACAAGUGCAUUUCAGGAUUUCGAUUAAGAUUUGCAUCUUACCUUCUCCGGAGUUAGUAGAAUCAACUGAAUCAGUACUCUUACGCAGUGGUAUCAGUUCCCCGUUGAGCUCAAUCUGUCGAGGGUAUGACUUAGUCGAUUUGGUUGCUAUAGAUGAUAGGUAAUUGAAGGGCAAAGUACGAACAACUCAAUUAGUCAGUCUUGUGCUAAGAAGAGUUGAAUAAGUCUUUCUAUGGCUCGAUUUCAUGGCAUUUGUGACACGUUGGUAAAUGUCCGAAAUGAAGUCCACCAUAACUCAGCUUUCGAACAAUUUUGGCAUUGUUUUCAUAGAUCUGUAGUUAUUUCGCACACACCGUCGGCAAUCAGAGCAGUCUCAGCGUCGCCAUAUCAGAAAAGACGAUGCUCAGUAUCCACAAUAUCUAGAGACUUCCUAGCUCCCUUUCUAUUAUUUUCAGAUUUUAGUAGUUGUCUUUUUGUUUUUUUU
rnacentral:lncRNA from 1 species